UUGGUUGCAAGUAACAGAAACCCAACGCUAAUUAAUAAACGGGAAAGUGUGUCAGUGGAAAGCUCCACAAGUCCGACGGAAAGAGAAAACUGCUUUCCCAAAGGGUGUAAGAGGAUGAAAGGCAUGUCAUCAGCUGAAUUGCAUCAGGUGUCCAUCUUGGAAUCAAUCACGGUGCCUCUUAUUAGCAAAGCCUGAGUCAUAGUGCAGGAAGGGGUGGAGCCAAGGGGAGACACUGAAGGAACGUACUGAAGU
rnacentral:lncRNA from 1 species